AUGCAAGUCGAACGCUGAAGCCUGGUGCUUGCACCGGGUGGAUGAGUGGCGAACGGGUGAGUAACACGUGAGUAACCUGCCCCUGACUUCGGGAUAAGCCCGGGAAACUGGGUCUAAUACCGGAUACGACUGCCGGACGCAUGUCUGGUGGUGGAAAGUUUUUUCGGUUGGGGAUGGGCUCGCGGCCUAUCAGUUUGUUGGUGAGGUAAUGGCUCACCAAGACGACGACGGGUAGCCGGCCUGAGAGGGCGACCGGCCACACUGGGACUGAGACACGGCCCAGACUCCUACGGGAGGCAGCAGUGGGGAAUAUUGCACAAUGGGGGAAACCCUGAUACAGCGACGCAGCGUGCGGGAUGACGGCCUUCGGGUUGUAAACCGCUUUCAGCAGGGAAGAAGCGCAAGUGACGGUACCUGCAGAAGAAGUACCGGCUAACUACGUGCCAGCAGCCGCGGUAAUACGUAGGGUACGAGCGUUGUCCGGAAUUAUUGGGCGUAAAGAGCUCGUAGGUGGUUGGUCACGUCUGCUGUGGAAACGCAACGCUUAACGUUGCGCGUGCAGUGGGUACGGGCUGACUAGAGUGCAGUAGGGGAGUCUGGAAUUCCUGGUGUAGCGGUGAAAUGCGCAGAUAUCAGGAGGAACACCGGUGGCGAAGGCGGGACUCUGGGCUGUAACUGACACUGAGGAGCGAAAGCAUG
rnacentral:rRNA from 1 species